rnacentral:rRNA from 1 species
UACGAAGGGAGCUAGCGUUGUUCGGAAUCACUGGGCGUAAAGCGCACGUAGGCGGAUGUGUCAGUCAGGGGUGAAAUCCCGGAGCUCAACUUCGGAACUGCCUUUGAUACAGCACGUCUUGAGUCCGAUAGAGGUGGGUGGAAUUCCUAGUGUAGAGGUGAAAUUCGUAGAUAUUAGGAAGAACACCGGUGGCGAAGGCGGCCCACUGGAUCGGUACUGACGCUGAGGUGCGAAAGCGUGGGGAGC